rnacentral:rRNA from 1 species
AGUAUGUGGUUUAAUUCGACGCAACGCGCAGAACCUUACCUAGACUUGACAUCCCGGGGAUUUUCUGGAAACAGAGAAGUGCUUUAGCAAUAAAGAACCCGGUGACAGGUGCUGCAUGGCUGUCGUCAGCUCGUGUCGUGAGAUGUUGGGUUAAGUCCCGCAACGAGCGCAACCCUCGCCUUUAGUUGCCAGCAUUCAGUUGGGCACUCUAGAGGGACUGCCGGUGUCAAACCGGAGGAAGGUGGGGAUGACGUCAAGUCCUCAUGGCCUUUAUGUCUAGGGCUACACACGUACUACAAUGGCCGGUACAAAGGGCAGCCACUCAGCGAUGAGGCGCUAAUCCCAUAAAGCCGGUCUCAGUCCGGAUCGCAGUCUGCAACUCGACUGCGUGAAGUUGGAAUCGCUAGUAAUCGUAGGUCAGCAUGCUACGGUGAAUACGUUCCCGGGCCUU